rnacentral:lncRNA from 1 species
GGGGUAUACAGACUUUUGGUUUGUCUUGAGAAAUUCAAGACUUAAAUGAAGGAAGCAGCAUUUCUACAGGCCGGCAGUUGAGCUGCGGCACUAGGGGCUACGGCUCUCUUCUUUCACUAAACAUCCCUUGCAAGCGUCUGUGGCAUGCGGAUCUGUGACAUCCUCUUCCCUUGAUGUGUCACAGGGUAUAACCACAGAGGGUGUAAUGCAAGAAUCUCCCCGAAGACACCAAUGAUCAGAAACAGGAAAUGUUGGAACUUGCCACCGCUGUCAUCCAGCCCACCAAGCAUCUUUGCCCUGACCAGUGCCAUGUGCCAGAAUUGGUGUUUCUCUCCCCUGGCCUCUGUUAAAAACAUGAGCGGCUGAAGACAAGCAGACAUGUGCUUCUCCCUGAAAGCACCUGAGUAGAGGUUUGGCAGCGGG